rnacentral:misc_RNA from 1 species
UUUUUUCUGCUCGGCUGCGGCUGGUGCUGCACCACCACCAGCAGCACCACCGGCCGGGGCGGCAACGGCGACUGCACCGCCACCAGAUGGCACUGACGCCAACUUCUCCCGUCCGGAGGCUAUCAACUCUGUGAUAUCCUUUCCUUUCACUUCGGAUAGUAGCAAGCCAAUCCUGUCGUCAUCCACCUCAGCCCCAACUGAAUUAAGAAUAGACUUCACAUCAUCGAGUCCGGGGUUGGUGUUGCCACCGAGAACGGCCAACAAAUAUGCAGCGACGACCUUCAUCUUUGGGAAAGUUCAAAACAGAAGCUGCAACGAA